rnacentral:rRNA from 1 species
UACAGAGGUCUCAAGCGUUGUUCGGAUUCAUUGGGCGUAAAGGGUGCGUAGGCGGCGCGGUAAGUCGGGUGUGAAAUCUUGGAGCUUAACUCCGAAAACUGCAUUCGAUACUGCCGUGCUUGAGGACUGGAGAGGAGACUGGAAUUUACGGUGUAGCGGUGAAAAUGCGUAGAUAUCGUAAGGAAAGACCCAGUGGCGAAAGGCGGGGUCUCUGGACAGUUCCUGACGCUGAGGCACGA